UGGGAAUCGGGAAGGGCCUCAUCGGAGGCAUUUUGUAAAAUUUCCCGCGGCAGCGCUUUCGGGCUUCGCCAGUGUUUUUUGGCCAAUUGGCCAGUUUUUUUACUCCAAUUUGGCUAUGUGUGAGCUUAAAAUUGAAUUUCGUGCAAAAAGAAAAGUUUUUACCUUUUUUUGCGGUCGGAAAGGGUUCCAGUGCGGCGGCGGGUAGCGGCGGUCUGCUCUCUGACGGCUAGGUUGUCUUCUUCGGCGAGGGGGUCUGGAGCUAGGGUUAGGGUUUGGUGCGGAUGAAGGUUAUUUAUAUCCGUCCGCUUUUGAUCCAGGUCGUCCAUCGCGUUUGAUCUAGAUCGUCUGAUUGCGAUUAAAUAAGGAGCGAAUUUGGACCGUUCAUCGCGAUCCAAUCUGAGCCAUCCAUUGUGAUCCACUAUAGGUCGUUCGAUCGCAUUUGAAUCUGGCAGUUCGAUCGCAUUUGGGAGGGAGCGCAUCUAGGUCGUCCGUGUGCGCGGGAACGGACCUAGAUCGUUUGAUUGCGGGCACGCAAAUUGCCCGCGUGGCACCGCGUCAGGGUCCGUUGUCACGUGACGCGUUUUGGUUCGUGGGGGCUGCUAACCGGAUGUUCUAUGUGGCAGAACUUCUCUAAAUUGCACUUUGAUUCUUAGUUUUUGAUUUUUUU
rnacentral:lncRNA from 1 species